rnacentral:rRNA from 1 species
AUGAUACUUUUGGAACCAAGUGAAGCGCACACAUGCAGAACACAAACUUGCUCUACAUUCAGUGUUGCUAUAGUACUCGUAUAUAUUGAAAUAAUGCGGGUGGGAAGUGGGAACACAGAGGAACGAAAGGAAAACACACAUAUCUACUCCAUCUCACUUGGCAAAACAAUCUGCUUAAACAGUUUUACUAUCUAUCUAUCGGCAGGUAGGGCUGCAAACGAGUCGAGCUCGAGCGAGUUGGAGUUGGCUCAGCUCAACUCAUAUGAAAAUUCGAGCGAGCUCAAACUGAGUCAAGCUCAUGAUCGAGCUGUAGAACAUGACUCGUGCUCAGCUUGUAACGAUCUCGAGCUAGUUUCGAGCUAA